rnacentral:rRNA from 1 species
CGUAGGGUGCGAGCGUUAAUCGGAAUUACUGGGCGUAAAGCGUGCGCAGGCGGUUUUGUAAGACAGAUGUGAAAUCCCCGGGCUCAACCUGGGACCUGCAUUUGUGACUGCAAGGCUAGAGUACGGUAGAGGGGGAUGGAAUUCCGCGUGUAGCAGUGAAAUGCGUAGAUAUGCGGAGGAACACCGAUGGCGAAGGCAAUCCCCUGGACCUGUACUGACGCUCAUGCACGAAAGCGUGGGGAGCAAACAGGAUUAGAUACCCUGGUAGUCCACGCCCUAAACGAUGUCAACUGGUUGUUGGGUCUUUACUGACUCAGUAACGAAGCUAACGCGUGAAGUUGACCGCCGUGGGGAGUACGGCCGCAAGGUUAG